UACGUAGGGGGCAAGCGUUGUCCGGAAUCAUUGGGCGUAAAGAGCGCGUAGGCGGCCCUGUAAGUCCGCUGUGAAAGUCAAGGGCUCAACCCUUGAAUGCCGGUGGAUACUGCAGGGCUAGAGUCCGGAAGAGGCGAGUGGAAUUCCUGGUGUAGCGGUGAAAUGCGCAGAUAUCAGGAGGAACACCGAUGGCGAAGGCAGCUCGCUGGGACGGUGACUGACGCUGAGACGCGAAAGCGUGGGGAGCAAACAGG
rnacentral:rRNA from 1 species